CCUACGGGAGGCAGCAGUGAGGAAUAUUGGUCAAUGGGCGGAAGCCUGAACCAGCCAAGUAGCGUGCAGGAUUACGGCCCUACGGGUUGUACACUGCUUUUAUACGGGAAUAACGCCCCUUACGUGUAGGGCUUUGCAUGUACCGCAUGAAUAAGGACCGGCUAAUUCCGGGCCAGCAGCCGCGGUAAUUCGGAAGGUCCGGACGUUAUCCGGAUUUAUUGGGUUUAAAGGGAGGCUAAGACGCAUGUCAAGCGUGCUGUGAAAUGUCCGGGAUCAACCCGGGCCUUGCAGCGCGAACUGGCGUGCUUGAGUCCGCGGAAAGCAGGCGGAAUUCGUGGUGUAGCGGUGAAAUGCUUAGAUAUGACGAAGAACCCCGAUUGCGAAGGCAGCUUGCUGCAGCGGAACUGACGCUGAUGCUCGAAAGCGCGGGUAUCGAACAGGAUUAGAUACCCUUGUAGUC
rnacentral:rRNA from 1 species